rnacentral:rRNA from 1 species
AUUGAACGCUGGCGGCAUGCCUUACACAUGCAAGUCGAACGGCAGCACGGGGGCAACCCUGGUGGCGAGUGGCGAACGGGUGAGUAACACAUCGGAACGUGCCUGGUAGUGGGGGAUAGCUCGGCGAAAGCCGGAUUAAUACCGCAUACGACCUACGGGCGAAAGCGGGGGAUCGCAAGACCUCGCGCUAUCGGAGCGGCCGAUGUCAGAUUAGGUUGUUGGUGGGGUAAAGGCCUACCAAGCCGACGAUCUGUAGCUGGUCUGAGAGGACGACCAGCCACACUGGGACUGAGACACGGCCCAGACUCCUACGGGAGGCAGCAGUGGGGAAUUUUGGACAAUGGGCGCAAGCCUGAUCCAGCCAUGCCGCGUGCGGGAAGAAGGCCUGGUGUAACG